UACGGAGGAGGCAAGCGUUAUCCGGAAUUAUUGGGCGUAAAGCGUCCGCAGGUGGCGAUUCAAGUCUGCGGUCAAAGACUGGGGCUUAACCCUGGAAAGGCCGUGGAAACUGAAUAGCUAUAGUGCAGUAGGGGUAGAGGGAAUUCCCGGUGUAGCGGUGAAAUGCGUAGAGCUCGGGAAGAACAUCGGUGGCGAAAGCGCUCUGCUGGACUGCAACUGACACUCAGGGACGAAAGCUAGGGGAGCGAAUGGG
rnacentral:rRNA from 1 species